CUCGUGCUGGGCUCGUCUACCCUCGUCUCCUUCUCUCUCUCUCUCUCUCUCUCGAUCUCGAACCCUUGGUUCCUAAUUCGGCCGGCCUGCGACGGAACUGUGAGCGAUGGUGGUGGCGUCAGGGAGCAACUCCAACUCCUGGGCCAAAGAGAUGGUCAUCCGAAGGAGGAUCGCCAACAUAUAUAACAAACGGGAAGAGGACUUUCCAUCACUCAGAGAGUACAAUGAUUACUUGGAAGAAGUUGAGGAUAUGACUUACAACUUAAUUGAAGGAAUAGAUGUUGCUGCAAUUGAGGCCAAGAUUGCGAAAUACCAAGAAGAAAAUGCUGAACAAAUAAUCAAUUCCCGAGCUCGUAAGGCUGAAGAAUUAGCAGCAGCUCUAAGGGCAAACAAAGGGAAUUCUGUACAGGCUGAUCCCGCUGAUAUGGGUCCCGGACCAAGCUCUCAAGGGGUUGGCAUGCAAGGGCAAUAUGCCCCAGCCGCCGUCCCUGGUGGUGGUCUUGCACAGCCGCGCCCUACUGGUAUGGCUCCGCAGCCCAUCCCAAUUGGGGGCCCAGUCGAUCCCCUGCAAGGGUAUGCAGCCGGGGACGAGGAGGCAAAGAAGCUACGAGAGGAGAGAGGGGCCAGAGCUGGAGGAUGGACCAUCGAAUUGAGCAAGAGGAGGGCAAUUGAGGAAGCAUUCAGCAGCAUAUGGAUAUGAUCUUUUUAACCUGAAGAUAGAACGGGUUCAGUAGUGCAUGCUUGAUGGUAGACAGAUGAUUAGUGAUUAGUUGGAUCAGGAAGAAGUUGUCAGUUGUUCUUGGGGCACUUCUAGUCAGUUCAAGCUUUGCAUCUCCGAGUACUAGAAGUGUCAUUUUUCUGUAUAUGGAUUUAGCUAGGAAGAAUAGCUCUCUCUCUCUCUCUCUCUCUCCCCCCGCCUGCCCUCGUGCUGCUUUUUUUUAAAGAAGCAGGUUGUUUUAAAUGUCAAUAAAAAAGCAGAAAUAUGAUGGGCUACCGAUCACGGCGAUGGUGACAUGGAAGGAGGUUAGAGAUCUUGAGAACCACUGAGCUGAUGAAAAUAGAGAGGCUGCUAAAUUCUCCAAGCUAAAGGUCCUCACAGUAGCAGCACUACAAAAGUUUCCCUGGUACAAGAUAAAGAGAACUUUUUGUCAACAGGUCAGAUUCCAUGCCAACCAGCUUCAUCCAAGCCGAUCAAUCUCCGCCAUCAAUGUUAGGCUUGCUAAAUUAUGGGUAAAACAUCCAAGUGUGAAAGGAUAAAUAUGUUAUCUAGUUCCAAUUGUCUUCUAUUAUGAAAUUAGUAACUAGAUUCGUACCA